AACAUCACUCAAACUCCAGCAAAGAUAAGACACAAGUGCAUUGGGUCAACCCUUGAUGCAUCAUCAAGUUUGAACACCAAUGUCUUUAAGCAAUGCAACAGAUUAAACUAGACAUUUUCAAGUUCUAAUCUUUGCAAGCAAACUCUCUAAGCACUAGCAUGAUCCUAACAGAUUCAAUACACUACAAAAAAAGUCUACAUUGAUAGCACAUUAUUAUAGCACGUUUUACUGAACUGCUAUCGUAGAUGAUUUAAAAAUUUCUGUAUUAUAUAAUAGCAUUAGAUAAACGCUAUGAUAGAAAAACUUAAAAUAGCACUUAAUUAAUGCUAUUUUAAGAAUUACGUGAGCGGGAAAAGUAAAAUCACCAUUUCACCAAUACUUAGCGGAAAUUUAGAUUUAAGCGCCAAAAAUAUUAUUUAAGCGGCUUAAUAAAACUACGAAAGACUUAUAAUAGCAUUUUUGUAAUGCUAAGAAAAGCUAUCUGAACCCCUAAACCUUAAACAUGGUUUUAAACCCUAAACACAACCCUUAAAACUAUAAUUUUUUUAUAUUAUAACUUCAAAUCUUAAAAUUAAACUUAAAAUUUAAUCUUCUUGAUCUUAAACUAUAAUUUCCUAACCACAUAUCCUUAAUCUUUAAUCAAUCUCUAUAUCCUAAAUCAUAACUUCAAACAUAAAUUAUACAUUCUGUGUAAACAUACAACUUUUUAAAUGAUGACCAAAAUGAUAAUCUUGAUAUUAAUCUAAUAUUUCCAAACUUAAAUAUUAAUUCUUAAAAUAAAUAUCAAUUUAUUAUGUUAAAAAAUAACUUUAAACUUAAAUUCCAAAAUACAAAAUAUAAAUUUUGAAAUAAGAUAUAAGUAAGAAAAAAUAUUUACAAAACAAAUCAUCAAAGAUUGAAGGAAAAAAAAACACAAUUUAUAAAGAGUAUUUUCUUGCUACGAUUUAGCUACGAAUUUUUUUGUAGGUCUUUAUAAAAUAGCCACGAAAUGCCACGGUUUUUUUUGUACAUGCUUAAAACCCUAAACCCUAAAAUUCUUUUAAAACCUAAACCCUAAAUAUAAACCUUAAAACUCUAUUCUUUUUCAUAAUUUAACUUAAAUCUUAAAUUUAAAUUCAUAAUUUAAUUUCAAAUCAUAAUUUAAACCCCAAAUACUAUAUUCCAACCCCUAAACUAUAAACAUAAACACUAUACCCCAAAUCAUAAAUCUAAACAUAAAAUCUUAUAUUUUAAAAUUUAAAAUAUUAAACUUUACUUUUAGAUCUUAUCUUCAACCCAAAUCCCCUUACUCAAAACUUUAUAUUCCAUAUACACUAAACUUUACUAUACAUACAAUACUCUAAAUAUAAACUUCAAAACUAAAAUUUGAAAAAUUUAACUACAAAUCUUAGACCUAAUAUUCAAAUCUAAUAUUUUCAUACUCUGAUCCAAAAUCUUAAAUCAUAGUCUUGAUAUUAAUCAAAUAUUUUCAGACUUAAACAUCAAUUCUUAAAAUAAAUAUAAACUUAUUAUGUUCAAAAAAGAAACUCUAAACUUAAAUUAUAAACUCGAAAAUACAAAAUUUUAUAUAAGAUAUAACUAAGAAAAUUUACUUAGAAAACAAAUUAUCAAAUAUUUAAGAACAAAACAAAAAUAAAAAUAGAAAAAGAAAGACAAAAUUUCUGGCCAAUCAGAUUCAAAUACAUAGAUCACACUCUUAACCAUUGGAUUAACUUAGAUCUAAAGGUAGAGAUUUAUUCAAUUUAAUUUUUAUUUUUUUCUUCUCUCUCUCUAUUUCUCUCUCCCUCUCUCACGACAGAUCUCAUGUCAUCUCCUUCUCUGCUUUUUUUUUUCCCGAUUCUCUCUUCUCCACUCUAACCUCUCAUUCUCAUAUCUCAUAUAUCUCUUCUCUCCCAUCUCUCUCAACGCCUCUCUCAUCUCACCACCACCGCGCCUCCUCCUCGUCUCACCACCACCGCGUCUCCUUCUCGUCUCACCACCACCGCGUCUCCUUCUCGUCUCACCACCACUGUUUUCCCCCUUGUCUCACCACCACCACGGUCGACGUGGAGGAGCCAAGGUUCAUGGCGGCUGGAGGAAGCAAGGUUCAUGGCGGCUGGAGGAAGCAAGGUUCAUGGCGGCUUGAGGAAGCAAGUCUCGUGGCGACAAGGAUGUGGAGGAGGCGGCAGGAGUUUUUUCUUUAGGUUUAGGUUUUUUAGGUCUGGUUAAGUGUCCUAAAUUGUAGUGGUCUGACUUUAUUUUUUAUUUUCUGGUUUAGUUUUGUAAACCAGAAUUAAUCUGUAAACCAAAUUUAAUUAUUAAUAAAAUUUAUUUUAUUUUCA